rnacentral:lncRNA from 1 species
GCUGGUGGGGUCGGAGCGGCCACGGGCUAGGUGGGGUCGGGGCAGCCAUAGGCGAGGUGGGGUCAGGGCGGUUGGGUCAGGGCUGCAAUGUAGGAGGCACCGGCAAGGUCAGGGCCGCAGUGAUCGAGGCAGCUAGCUCUUGGCCACUAUGUAAGAGGCAUGGAUGGGGUCGGGGCAACCACAGGCAAGGCGGGGUCGAGGC